rnacentral:rRNA from 1 species
GCAUAUCAAUAAGCGGAGGAAAAGAAACUAACAAGGAUUCCCCUAGUAACGGCGAGUGAAGCGGGAUGAGCUCAAAUUUAAAAUCUGGCGGCCUCAGGUCGUCCGAGUUGUAGUCUAGAGAAUCGUUUUCCGCGUUGGCCUGUGUACAAGUCCCUUGGAACAGGGCGUCAUAGAGGGUGAGAAUCCCGUCCUUGACACAGACUACCAAUGCUUUGUGAUGCGAUCUCGAAGAGUCGAGUUGUUUGGGAAUGCAGCUCAAAAUGGGUGGUAAAUUCCAUCUAAAGCUAAAUAUUGGCGAGAGACCGAUAGCGAACAAGUACCGUGAGGGAAAGAUGAAAAGCACUUUGGAAAGAGAGUUAAACAGUACGUGAAAUUGUUAAAAGGGAAACGAUUGAAGUCAGUCAUGCUUUCCGAGACUCAGCCGAUUCUGUCGGUGUACUUCUCGGUUGGCAGGCCAGCAUCAGUUUCGAUCUGUGGAAAAGGUUGGAGGGAACGUGGCAUCCUCGGAUGUGUUAUAGCCCUUCUUCGAAUACAUAGAGCGGGACUGAGGAACGCAGCGCGCCUUUUAUUAGGUUGGCCCUCGGGUACAUACGCGCUUAGGAUGCUGGCAUAAUGGCUUUAAACGACCCGUCUUGAAACACGGACCAAGGAGUCUAACAUGUUUGCGAGUGUUUGGGUGGUAAACCCGAACGCGUAAUUAAAGUGAAUGCAGGUGGGAUCCGCAAGGAGCACCAUCGACCGAUCUGGAUCUUUUGUGAUGGAUUUGAGUAAGAGCACAUAUGUUGGGACCCGAAAGAUGGUGAACUAUGCCUGAAUAGGGCGAAGCCAGAGGAAACUCUGGUGGAGGCUCGUAGCGAUUCUGACGUGCAAAUCGAUCGUCAAAUUUGGGUAUAGGGGCGAAAGACUAAUCGAACCAUCUAGUAGCUGGUUCCUGCCGA